UGAUGAAACAACAUUUCUCCUCUCUCUAGUACGUAGCAUGCAUGCUGCUGCCUAUACAAAACCACCGCGUCGACGCAUCAAUCUGUGCAUGUACCCAAUGUUUAUAUGUGUCUGUCGAAAGUAUUUGUUCAUUAGAGAACCGUAUGUACGUGCAUGCGUGAUUGCAUGAAUUAUACUCUGUAGGUUGUAUGUACGUACGUACACUUGUUUCCUAGAGUACAUUGGACGUGGCUUCGGUUGAGGGUCUGUUUAUUCCUUCAUGUACACUACCUAGUACUCCCUCCGUCCCAAAAUAGAUGACCCAAUUUUAUACUAAAGUUAGUACAAAGUUGAGUCAUCUAUUUUGGAACGGAGGGAGUAUGUAAAUAAGAUUGAUUAUUCUUCUAUCUAAAUUGUUAAAGCCGCUGCCAAUAUAUAAGCAUAUGAGGACAAUCUCAUUUUUUUCAAAAUCAAUGUAUUUACAUGGAUCAUUGCACUCUAAUUUUUGCCCAGUAGCCUCGCUCAAAUCUUCCACAAAAUGGCCGGUCGUAGUUUCCUCUCCGGACGUGGAAGCACCAUCUGACCCUCCUUGUCCUGCCCAAAACCCCAUUGUGUUGAAACAAAUAUCAAUUUUUAACUUAGAUUAAUCCAAAAAAGAACCAUGGGAAUCAUGUUAGAAUAAAUAAUCAUUAAAAGGAUAUUGUAGCCGCCGCCUCCUCCUUCUCCUCCACAAAAAGCUAGGAUUUUUGCCUCCCGCCGCCGCCACCGCAGGUCCGCCUCCUCUCCGAUGGCCUUAGGGCCAUGGGGACGCAGUGGAUCUCGGCAAGGGUCGGCGGGAGGGCUCCGUUUUUAAUCGUUUCUUUCAGUUUUGCUAGGGUUUGUGACCUGCUCAGGAAGACGAGACGGCGGCGGCUCCCUGAAGAUGGAAUAAAGGUCUCCCCGCCUAGUCCCCGAUCCGGCGAUGCGUCUAGCAUCGUUGGUGGGCGUGUGGAGGUGUGUCUCCGGCGGAUCUAUCUUUGGUGGAUUUGCUCGGAUCUCGUCGUUGUUCGUCUAUGUUCGCGUGUCUUUGGAUUGGAUUUUUCCGAUCUACGUUAUUCUUUAUCUGCGGCGGUUGCUGUUCUGGUGCGCUGGUCCUACGGGGCCUUAGCACGAUAACUUCCCGACUGUCUACUACAACAAGUUGUGCCCGACUCCGGUGAUGGAGGGCGAUGACGGCGGCGCGCAUUCGGCUCGCUUCAGUGCUGGUAGUUGUCGCUACGUGGUCUACGGAUCUGGAUGUGAUUUUUAUUAUUUUUGGUAUUCGUUGUACUGCCAUGAUUGAGGAUGAAUAGAUCGAAAAUUUUCCCGCAAAAAAAUCAUUAAAAGUAAAUUAGAUAUGUGGGCAGUAUUCAUCAAAAAGGAGGUAUGCGUCACCACAUGCAAAGAAGGGUUAAUGGCGUCGUCGUCGACAUUUUGAGCACCACGAACAACAAAUGUUCAAACUAUGUUGCCAUGCUCGCCGAUAUGUGCAUCUUUCCUGGCCGCGACCAAGAAGAAGCACGUCCAGUGGAAUUGUGACAAGUGUCAUAGCGGUCCAAAAAGAAAGUCGAUGCGAUCUUCAAGGGCAACAACCACUAGUAGAAAAGGGCCUAAUGUGAAACACAUUAGUCCCGGUUUGUAACAAAACCGGCACUAAUGUGAUCAUUAGUGCCGGUCUCAACGGCUAGGAGGGCGGAGAUCAUUGGUAUCGGUUUGUGGCGAACCUUUAGUACCGGUUCGUGCCACGAACCGGUGCUAAAGAGGCUGUUGCAGGGUGUGGUCAGGCUGGGCCCCCACCAACACCUUUAGUACCGGUUCAUACCACAAAUCGGUACUAGAGGUUUUUAGUUGGUUCAUUCUGCAGCGGUUUUUUAGUCCCACCUCGCUCCGCUAACAGAGUUUUUAUCACCUUAAAUAUAUUACUUCUCAAACUAUCACAACCACUUGAUCUUCAUUGAACUCUAUGUGUAAAAUUUGUGGCCACAAUACGAGUCUUCUCCGGUUUCUAAACCGGUGAGGACUCAUAUUGACAAUUCAGAUUGUAUACAAAAAGAUCAUUGAUGAUCAAUGUAUUUUUGAUGUAUUUCUUUGUCAGUAGCGCGUUUUGGCUGAAAGGCGAUACUGAUCAAUGUAUAUUUAUAUAUAUUUUUACAUAUUUACACAAUUUUAAUAAUUUAUUACAACUCCGGUCUUUUUUUUCCGUUCAAAUGCACAAUUCAAAUCCACGUCAUCAACUUUCAACCCUUUCUGACAUAAUUUGCUAUUUUCGAUGCAUUUACUGAUUUGUUUUGAGAGCUAAAUGACAGUGAAAUUGAAAAGCACUACAAAAUAAAUUCUGAAAAGGUUGAAAUUUGGCAAGGUAUCAUCAUUUCACCCGCAUAGCAUGUGCAAAAAAAUAGAGAGGGUUACGGCAAAAACUGGAUGCACUUCGUAUACAAACUGGACAAUCUCUUUCGAAGUAUCAUGAUUUCAGACGAAAACUCAUCUGUUACACCGGCUAUUCAAUAUUUUAAUAACUUAUUACAACUCCGGUCUUUUUUUGCGUUCAGAUGCAUAAUUCAAAUCCAUGUCAUUAACUUUCAACCCUUUCUGACAUACACUACUAGGGAAAACCUUAUACACAGAAAUUUAGCAGUAGCGCGGGUCAAAAAAAGCGCUAGAGCUAGAUAGCAGUAGGGCGUGAGGAAAAAUGGCGCUACAGAUAAAAUUGUAGCAGUAGCGCGUGCGUGUGUAAAAGCGCUACUACUAAUAUUCCUAUUGCUUAGACGAUAGGCUACGCAUAGCAGUAGCGGGCUUGGAAGAAGCGUGCUACCGCUAGGGCGUAAGUAGUAGCGCAUUUCCUACGAAAAACGCUACUGCUAAUGGAAAUAAAAUAAAAUAAAAAACAAACAGAAAAGUAAAUGAAAAUGAAAGAAAUAAAAAGAGGAGAAAGGGAAAAAUAAAAUAUAAAGCAAAAUAAAUGAAAAGGCGAAAAAAGGAGAAAGGCAUAGCAGUAGCGUGUGUUCGUAAGAGGCGUUAUAGCUAAUGUAGCUGCAGCGCGUUUCUUGGACCCCGCUAUAGAAAUAGAAAAGGAAAUUACAUAGCUAUAGCAGUAGCGCGUUUUGCGAAAUGCGCUACCGCUAAGUUUGACUUAACCAAAAAACCGUUUCCCCCCGGCCAUCACUUUUCCCCCAAAUCCCUCGACCCACCCCGCUGCCGUCUCCCCGAUACGCCGUCGCCCCACUUCGCUGCCGUCUCCUGCCGACGUCGACGCCCCCGGAGCCACCAGAGCCGCGCGACGUCGACGUCACCAGAGCCGCCCCCAACGCCACCGAUGUUCUGCCCCUCAACAAGGAUGUGAAGUUUACGCGCCUCCGAUUGAGGGUCUGUUUAUUCCUUCAUGUAUACUACCUAGUAUGUAAAUAAGAUUGAUUAUUCUUCUAUCU
rnacentral:lncRNA from 1 species